GCCGCCAUCGUCUGCCGCGCACACUCUAGGACCUUCUCCGAUUUAUCAGAAUGGGAGAGGAUAUUAAUCCCCUGUGAGUCGAACAACGGUGUCAGUGUGUAUGUCUGAAGUGUGUGCCCUGUGGGAAACUUUUGGCAGGCACGGAAUUCAAAUAUUGAAAAGGACAGGGGGGGGGAGGGAGAGAGAGAGAGAGAGAGAGAGAGAGAGAGAGAGAGAGAGAGAGAGAGAGAGAGGUAGGUGGGUGUGCAGGAAAAAAAGCUCACCUAAGCACACCUAUCCGUCUUCCCACCUCCUUGACUGCCUGAAGACUUUCCCGAGCUCAAGUCGGGAAACAGCAUUGCCCAGCGCUUGCUCAGUACACUACCCGCACCUCCAAUGAUGGACUCCUGUCGUAAAUCGGGGCCAGGGAGUGAAAUUACCCACUCACGUGCCCGUUAGAUGGGGGUGAAAUAUGGGUUGGACACCUUUGAGGUAAACGGAUGUACUGAAAAGGGUGGAAUUUGGGAUUCGAGAAUUUUUUCGACCCUUUAUUUUUUCUCUUGAAGAAUCUGUUUGCGCUUGUAAGUUAGCGUCAGUUCGACGGCUAAAAGGGAGGAUACAGAGGAAGGAAGAAAGGAGGUUGGAGGGGGAGAAAAGAGGCAAGGGUGGACGGAGAGAUUCCACUCUGUUGUAGUUUGUUGUAGUUGCACUUAGCGUUCGGACGCACGCUUUGCACAUGACACGAUUGGGAUCUGGCGGCGGGAAAAGUUUCCUGCGUGCCCUCAAAUAAGUCAUUUAUCAAUCUCGCAGAGGGACAAAAUAGGCCUGACAUAAAGCUGGGGUAACCACCAGACAGACAAGCAAACUCCCCACCGACAGCCUGCGCCUCUGAGGCUCAGCUGCAGCAGUUCGCAGCCCGCAGUAGGGCACAGGAGCUGCGCGUGGAAAGCCGAGCGCUGGCCAUGCUGGGCGUGUGAGCUGGGGUGGCGACCUGGGGUUCUGAAAGGUUUAGCCGAGCCCUGUCUUGCCCCCUAACUGUCCAGGCCACGCGUGAGCCAAGCUCCCGGCGUGCUGUCUGGCCAGGGCUUAAGCGGAGCUCCCCUGGGUUCCAAGCCGCACUAGAGCAGUCGCGGUCGUGAGGCCCAGGGCCCCUAUCUCUGCCGACUCGCGGUUUGUUUUCUGAUAGAGAAAAAGCUAUCAGUCAGCCUGGAGACCAGAGGUGUCCUAAAUACCGGCUACAUCUGCGAAGUCAGGGGCCAAGCUCCUUGCAAACCAUUCUUUUGCCCAUCCUGGCCAGCACCAUCCUAGACACUUAAAGUGAGCACAAGUUCUGAUUCGUCUUGGGAUGAGCCGCGCUCUUGCAGGUUGUACUAGUGGCUUAUCUGAAGAGUGAUUAAAGUGUUGUUAGCGAAAAGCA
rnacentral:lncRNA from 1 species